CUUUAAAAGGAGAGGUGGAAGAGGUAGACCAUAACUUACAGACAACAGAGAGACAACCAGUGAAUCCUUUGGAAGAGUGCAGAAGACCAUCAUGGCGCUAUUGACUGUCAUUCUGCUUGUCAGCACAGCUUUUUCUCUGGGCGAUGCUACGAAAGGACCCAAGACCCCCCGUGAACCUCCUAUAAAUACUGUGAAAAAUGGCCCGCCUGGAGACUACGGCUCCACGUGCGACUGCCAGGGAGAAUACACUCCUGAGCACCACUGGGGCUCUACAGGUUCCUCUUCGUGUCUUACCAGAACUGGAUGGACUAUCCCGGAAACUCAUCCUGGCACUCCACCAAUCAAAUGUGCAUGCAGUGGUGCUUGCAGAUGAAAGGUGUUUGAAGAGAAGAAAUACAUUGAUGGGCUGUCUUUAGUGUACUAUGGGACAUAUACAUGAAGAAAUACAUUGAUGGGCUCUUUAGUGUACUAUGGGACAUAUACAUGAAGAAAUCCAGAGAUACCGUUGUUGCAUUACAUUUAUUGGUUUGAUUUGCCGAAUAGUUUAGCUGAGCAUUUCUGGCACAUGGAGGAAUGAAUUGGGCUAUUAUGAUGAACCGUAUGACCACCACACCUGUCAUGAAGGCAGUCAAAUUCCAUGUGACCACUUCGUCAUGGUAACUGGGCUUUAACAAGCUAUUGUGCUGCUGAUGGUCAUGCGUAGUCUACUAUACUUCCUGGUACUCAGCACUUUAUUGCCCUCUAAUUGCUAUCAAUGUAAUUGCAAAUCAACUAUUGAUCAUGUACAUGUGAUUAGCAGAUUUAUUUUAUUGUGGGUGUAGUGAAAUGCUUGUGCAUAUAGCUCUGAUAGCUCUGACAGCCCAGUAGUAUCUAACCAAUUACACGUGUUACACCGGUAGGACUGACUUAAGACUAUCGUUCAGUAAUUUUGUAAUCGAUGUUCAUAAAUUCCAAUUAUCUAUCUGAUGCCCAGAGGUUGUAAAGUUCUGGUCUUAAAUAAAAAACUGAAUUCCCAACUCAC